CAAUAGCGUAUAUCCAAGUUGUUGCGUUCCAAAAACUCGUAGUUGGAUUUCUGCCGAGGUUGACCGGUCCGCCCUCUGGGUGAGUAUCUGGCUCGACCUGGGCAUGUUCUUGGAGAGCGUAGCUGCAGCAUGGAAUAAUAAGAUAGGUCAUCGGUUCUAUGUUGUUUGCUUCUAUAGCUGAGGUAAUGAUUAAUAGGGAUAGUUGCCGGCAUUCGUGUUUUAUUGUCAGAGGUGAAAUUAUUGGAUUUGUUAAGGACGGACUACUGCGAAAGCAUUUGCCAAGGAUGUUUUCAUUGA
rnacentral:rRNA from 1 species